GGGGAAUUUUGGACAAUGGGCGCAAGCCUGAUCCAGCCAUGCCGCGUGUCUGAAGAAGGCCUUCGGGUUGUAAAGGACUUUUGUCAGGGAAGAAAAGGCUGUUGCUAAUAUCGACAGUUGAUGACGGUACCUGAAGAAUAAGCACCGGCUAACUACGUGCCAGCAGCCGCGGUAAUACGUAGGGUGCGAGCGUUAAUCGGAAUUACUGGGCGUAAAGCGAGCGCAGACGGUUACUUAAGCAGGAUGUGAAAUCCCCGGGCUCAACCUGGGAACUGCGUUCUGAACUGGGUGACUAGAGUGUGUCAGAGGGAGGUAGAAUUCCACGUGUAGCAGUGAAAUGCGUAGAGAUGUGGAGGAAUACCGAUGGCGAAGGCAGCCUCCUGGGAUAACACUGACGUUCAUGCUCGAAAGCGUGGGUAGCAAACAGGAUUAGAUACCCUGGUAGUCCACGCCCUAAACGAUGUCAAUUAGCUGUUGGGCAACUUGAUUGCUUAGUAGCGUAGCUAACGCGUGAAAUUGACCGCCUGGGGAGUACGGUCGCAAGAUUA
rnacentral:rRNA from 1 species